rnacentral:rRNA from 1 species
GAUGAACGCUAGCUACAGGCUUAACACAUGCAAGUCGAGGGGCAGCAUGAACUUAGCUUGCUAAGUUUGAUGGCGACCGGCGCACGGGUGAGUAACACGUAUCCAACCUUCCGUUUACUCAGGGAUAGCCUUUCGAAAGAAAGAUUAAUACCUGAUAGUAUGGUGAGAUUGCAUGAUAACACCAUUAAAGAUUUAUUGGUAAACGAUGGGGAUGCGUUCCAUUAGGUAGUAGGCGGGGUAACGGCCCACCUAGCCUGCGAUGGAUAGGGGUUCUGAGAGGAAGGUCCCCCACAUUGGAACUGAGACACGGUCCAAAACUCCUACGGGAGGCAGCAGUGAGGAAUAUUGGUCAAUGGACGAGAGUCUGAACCAGCCAAGUAGCGUGAAAGGAUGACUGCCCUAUGGGUUGUAAAACUUCUUUUAUACGGGAAUAAAGUGAGGCACGUGUGCCUUUUUUGUAUGUACCGUAUGAAUAAGGAUCGGCUAAACUCCGUGCCAGCAGCCGCGG